GACGAACGCUGGCGGCGUGCUUAACACAUGCAAGUCGAACGGAAAGGCCCUGCUUUUGUGGGGUGCUCGAGUGGCGAACGGGUGAGUAACACGUGAGUAACCUGCCCUUGACUUUGGGAUAACUUCAGGAAACUGGGGCUAAUACCGGAUAGGAGCUCCUGCUGCAUGGUGGGGGUUGGAAAGUUUCGGCGGUUGGGGAUGGACUCGCGGCUUAUCAGCUUGUUGGUGGGGUAGUGGCUUACCAAGGCUUUGACGGGUAGCCGGCCUGAGAGGGUGCCCGGCCACAGUGGAACUGCGAUACGGCGCAGACACCUACGGGAGGCAGCAGAGGGGAAUAUUGCAGAAUGAGCGGAGGACUGAGGCAGCAGCGCCGCGUGCGGGAUGACGGCCUUCGGGUUGUAAACCGCUUUCGCCUGUGACGAAGCGUGAGGGACGGUAAUGGGUAAAGAAGCACCGGCUAACUACGU
rnacentral:rRNA from 1 species